UACGAAGGGGGCGAGCGUUGUUCGGAUUUACUGGGCGUAAAGGGCGCGCAGGCGGCGCAUUUUGUCAGGCGUGAAAGCCCCGGGCUUAACCUGGGAACUGCGUUUGAUACGGAUGGGCUAGAGUUCGGGAGAGGAGAGUGGAAUUCCCAGUGUAGAGGUGAAAUUCGUAGAUAUUGGGAAGAACACCGGUGGCGAAGGCGGCUCUCUAGUACGUGACUGACGCUGAGACGCGAAAGCGUGGGGAGCGAACAGG
rnacentral:rRNA from 1 species